UGAACGCUAGCUACAGGCUUAACACAUGCAAGUCGAGGGGAAACGACAUCGAAAGCUUGCUUUGAUGGGCGUCGACCGGCGCACGGGUGAGUAACGCGUAUCCAACCUGCCCACCACCUGGGGAUAACCUUGCGAAAGUAAGACUAAUACCCAAUGAUAUCCCACGAAGGCAUCCGAAUGGGAUUAAAGAUUUAUCGGCAACGGAUGGGGAUGCGUCUGAUUAGGUUGUUGGCGGGUAACGGCCACCAAGCCCACGAUCAGUAGGGGUUCUGAGAGGAAGGUCCCCCACAUUGGAACUGAGACACGGUCCAAACUCCUACGGGAGGCAGCAGUGAGGAAUAUUGGUCAAUGGGCGGAAGCCUGAACCAGCCAAGUAGCGUGCAGGACGACGGCCCUAUGGGUUGUAAACUGCUUUUAUGCGGGGAUAAAGUGGGCCACGUGUGGCCUUUUGCAGGUACCGCAUGAAUAAGGACCGGCUAAUUCCGUG
rnacentral:rRNA from 1 species